AGUCCUUCGCCGUCCCUCGCCGUCCUUCGCCAUCGCACGCCACCGCACCCCAUCUCUCGAAAUCUGCAGACAUCUUGAUUUUUCCCACGCUGUCUGUCAGGUCUCCGCCGCCACUCGACGCCAGGGCGCCGGGCCUUGUGGGCUGUGCUGCACCUCGGACGGCUUCGCACCAGCCAGCGCCCUCUCUCUCCUGCAGCACUCUGAUCUGCACCCCCUGAGGGGCUUCCACUGUCCGCGGGGAGUGUCACAUGACUGCCGCCCCAUGUGUGUGAGAGGCGUCCUCUGGGAGAGCAUGGAUCCUGAGGUCCCAGGAUUGUCAGCUGACCUCUGUCCUGUGUGCCCAGUGGCCCCAGGUGACGUGUCUUCAAGAAGAGGCUGAGCUGCGGUGCUUGUAAGAGUCAUGUGCUGUUCCUGGGGCUUGGAUGAUGUAGGGGAAGCAAGGUGAAAGUGGUAUCCCGUGGUUCCACGUUCUGUCCUGCUGUGGGGCUGUCCCUCACAUGCUUUCAGUGGCUGUUGCAGAGGAAGAGCCUCCGGAAAUCUGCGUCUCAGCCUUAGAUCCAAGGACAGUCCAAGGAAGUCCUAAGACCAUGGAGUUGGUGAUCUGGGAUCUGGGUUUGCUGAUAUUUCUCACCGUGAAUCUCUUGGUGGUGUUUGUGGGCACGAGAGGGGCAGAGAAUGGAGAGUGAGGCUACCACAUGAAGCGUCACCAGAGCUGCUCCCUGCUGCCUGCUCAGAGCACCCCGGAUCCACUGUUCAAUCUGCACAAGAUUCGGGGUCCAGACAUGGGAGACUUCAGCUGCCUCAGAGGACCGUGGACAGGGAAGGCCAGCCUCGCAUCCCUCUGUCCAUGCCUGGAAUGACUUUAAUAACCAAGAGUUUUAUUUUUGAAUUUGUAGCUGUCGUUCACUUUUUACCCACCCAUUCAAUAAACCUUACAGAAUUGCUCCA
rnacentral:lncRNA from 1 species